rnacentral:rRNA from 1 species
CCUACGGGAGGCAGCAGUGGGGGAUAUUGCACAAUGGGGGAAACCCUGAUGCAGCGACGCCGCGUGAGUGAAGAAGGAUUUCGGUAUGUAAAGCACUAUCAGCAGGGAAGAAAAUGAUAGUACUUGACCAAGAAGCCCCGGCUAAUUACGUGCCAGCAGCCGCGGUAAUACGUAGGGGGCAAGCGUUAUCCGGAUUUACUGGGUGUAAAGGGAGCGUAGACGGUUAUGUAAGUCUGGAGUGAAAGCCCGGGGCCCAACCCCGGGACUGCUUUGGAUACUGUGUAGCUGGAGUCCAGUAGGGGCGGGCAGAAUUCCUGGUGUAGCGGUGAAAUGCGUAGAGAUCAGGAGGAACACCGGCGGCGAAGGCGGCCUCCUGGACUAAAACUGACGUUGAGGUGCGAAAGCGUGGGGAGCAAACAGGAUUAGAUACCCCAGUAGUC